AGACUCAGGGUGUUACAAACUUGGUAUCAGAGCCUAAGGUUCAACAGAGUCCUAGGGUGUUUAACAGUCGCAUCAAGUAGAGUCUUGUGCAUGGGCGUAUAACGCACCAAACUUAUGGACAUGAGGCUAUAAGAUGUUCUAGGAAAGUUUCCCUUCUUGCAGUGUUCAUGUCGUGCGAGUGAGCAUGAGCUCAAUUUAAACUCUUAGUAUAAUCCAUUUCUUCCUUUUGUUUAUAGAACAUGCC
rnacentral:lncRNA from 1 species